rnacentral:rRNA from 1 species
UACGUAGGGACCGAGCGUUGUCCGGAAUCAUUGGGCGUAAAGAGCGUGUAGGCGGCUCGCUAAGUCUUGCGUGAAAUCUCGGGGCUCAACCCCGAGCGGUCGUGAGAAACUGGCGGGCUAGAGUGCGGGAGAGGAGAGUGGAAUUCCUGGUGUAGCGGUGAAAUGCGCAGAUAUCAAGAGGAACACCUGAGGUGAAGACGGGUUGCUGGGCCGACACUGACGCUGAGUGCGCGAAAGCCAGGGGAGCAAACGGG